rnacentral:tRNA from 1 species
GGGCCCGUAGCGCAGCACGGACACAUAUGCCGUGAAGCGCGGCGGCCUUCUAAGCCGUCGGUCCCGGGUUCAAAUCCCGGCGGGCCCG